GGGUGUCGAGGUAAAGUGUACCCACUUUUGAUUGGGUUUCUCAAACUGCGCAAGCGUAAACCGUAUAUGCCGCGUACCCACGCGCGUACCUAACUUAUUGUAAACAAUAACAUCUGAACUGUCUGUGCAUCCGAGUACAGGAGAAUAAAUUAGAACGAAGAAUAUAAUUGAGAAUUGUCAAUCCUCAAAAUGGUAUUAUAUUCCGUACCGUGGUGUAAAAAUAGAUCAGAUUACCGAAAUUGGAAGAGAAGGGUUCAUAAUCCAAAUAAAGACCCUGAAAUUACAUUUCACGGGUAAUUAUUUUCCAAAAGAUGCCAAUACUCGUACCUCGUGGAUAAAUAUAUUAGGAAUCAAUUUACCAAGCACUCCAAAUGGAGCUCGGAUUUGUUCUUUACAUUUUGAAGAAAAGUCUUUUGAUAGAUCAUCCCCUUCAUUGGUCCGGCUUAAGCCGAAUGCGAUACCACUUGUAAAAAUGGUGACUAAUAUUUUCAUUUGUAUAGAGUUUGCUGAGAUAUUAUAAGUUAUAUUAUUGAUCCCCCGUGUCUAU
rnacentral:misc_RNA from 1 species